AGGAGGCUGAUCUCAGCUGGAGCAGCUCUCCCUAGAGAGUCAGUCUGGCUGCAGAUGGUAAAGUUUGGAUCCCUCCUGGCUCCACCCCUUGGGUCACCUGGACUCUUGGGCAUAUGUAGCACUGUGGUAGGACCCUGGGCCCUGCCACCAUCAUGUCCUUUCCUAGCAUGGCAACCUGCCCUGAGCCCAAUCCUCAGCGAUGCUGAUACAUCUACUACCCAACCCCAACUCUCGACAAGCCUCUUUCCUGCCCAGAAGACAUGCCUCUCUGCCGAGGUGGAGCCAUGGGAUCUGGGAUCCAAGCUGAUACAAGACACCUUGUGCACCAAAGCCCCUCCCCGCCCCAGGCACCUGCUGUGUGAGCUUGGGUGAUGUUGGCAAUUUCUCUGAGUCUUGUUAGUUCACCUGGGCAAAAUGAAGGUUGUAAGCCUGCCAACGAAUGGAUAUUCCCUUUGCAUUCUCCCACCAGAGUCAGAGCAGGGAUUGCCCUUGGGCUCAAACCAUGAGAGCAGCCGGGCUGCAGCUGGGGAAGGCCACGAGUCUCCUGGGCCCAGCUGGCUCCUGGCCCAUGUCCAGCCUGGCCACAGCCACCACUCCUGUGAGCUUAAUGUUCUUGGCGGUGAGGUUGGAGCACGCUGCCUUUCAAGAGGGGGAACUUCAUUUCUACACCAGCGCCAGCCGCACUUCUGCCAUUAGACAUUUCAUCGGCUCCUUUGAUUUAGGGCCUUGCCACAAGCUGCCAAUCCAAGCCACCUCCCGCCUGCCUGCCCGCCCCGCUGGCCAGCCUUGUUCCGGCUCACAGCAGCAGAAAUGAACAUUAUUUAAUUUCCCGCCAGUGGUAGCAAGAGCCACACUUCUCUCCCGCCGUACAUAUUUAUCUGUUUGGAAACAGUGUUGGAAGACCUGGGUCUCAAGGACAGCUUCUGCUAAUCCCCCUGGCUUGCAGAGGGCUCCGGAUUCAGGAACGGCAACGCAACAUGCAUAAUUUGAAAAAGAAAUGGAGGCACAGAGAGGGUGAGCAGCCUGCCCUGGUCACACAGCCAUCAGCUGGAACCUCCAUCUCAGCUGAAGAACACCAUCCCCAUGGUGACCCCAACAGAUAAAUGCACCCAGAAGUUCCCCACAAACCUCAGACUGAACCCACUGCAUCAGGUCCCUGCUGGGUCACCCAAAAUGAUCUUGGAUGUCCAGGGCCACAGAUUUCAGAACUGUUCAUGAGCCACAGGAAGAGAUUGGCUGGCAGUGCCCUCAUGUGGGAGGUUCCUGGGGAGCAAGAAGGAGAAUGCCAGCUUUCUGGGCAUGAGUCUCUCUCUUCUCUGUUGUCUUCGGCCUGGUGAUUGAAGUGAGGCCAGCGAGACACCGAGUGUGGAUUGCCACCAUGCUGCUAGCACAUGGCAUGGAGUGCACUCAGGGACAGCCACAGCCCUUGUGGCUGCUGUUGACCAGAUUCUGCCUAUGUGCAUGCCCCAGGACAUGUCUUGCCAGCCCCAUGCUUAGCAGAGUUUAAGAUCCAAGCAAAGUUCUCAAGGCUCAAGCGAAUACCCGAGGUGAGGCCGAGUGGAAAACGGAAACGCCUUGGUAGAGCUCAGGGUCCUAAGUUCAAAUCCAGCCCCAUCUAUUACAGUUGUAAAGAUUGUCUUUCAUUGUGUGUGUAUGUAUGUAUGUGUGUAAGUGUGUGUGUGUAAAUGCGUGUGGAAGCCAGAAGAGGAGCUGGAGUUACAGACCCGGUGUGAGCCUCUUGACAUGGGUGCUAAGAAACAAACUCAGGUCCAAACAAACUCAGGUCCUCUGGAAGAGAAAAAAGUGCUCUGAACCCUUAACCACUGAACCCUCUCUACCUCCUUUUGCAAUCUUGCAUCCAAGCCUCAACUUGCCCAUCUUUAAAAUGGGAGCUGGUCGUGAGUCGUCAAGGUUGUUGACCGAGUUCCUGAUGCUCAGUAAUGGUGACUGUUGGUGUCAGGACAAUAAGUGAGUUGGCUGUGCCAUUCCUUGUGGUUAGGGUUUUUGUUUUGUUUUGUUUUGCUUUGCUUUGUUUUG